rnacentral:misc_RNA from 1 species
UAGGUCCAAUUAGUUGAAAAAAGAAGAAGAAAAACAACAGCCGGAUAUUUUUCAAUGGUGAUAACGGAUUGUUGAUCGAAGGCUAAGACUCACCGGGCUGAAUGUUGUCACUGUAACAGUGUAUUGUUAGAGCAGUACAAUGAGCGUGUUUAACAAUACCGGCGACCGAUCCGGCCGAUUGUUUCCUCGCCUCUUAACGUUACUGUUGCCAUUAGCCGCGGCGAUUGCGAUUAAUUCGCUACUAAAACAACGUGCGCCUUGCCUGUCCAAUUAUUAUCACGUGCACGAUACUCUAUUACAUGCGAACUAAUCAUAUCGAAAGGAAUAUAUUGAGACUCCAGAUAAUUUGUUGCAAAUUAUUUUCAACUAGACCGUCGAUAUUUUUUAUUACCUUGGAUCAUUAUGAACAAAGGAUAAGGAAACUCAAUCCUUCGAACCCUUUAAAAAUUAUGACUGACCCAACAAGCGUAAGGAAACACGAGGAAAAAGAGAAUUCUUGUUUUGAUUAGGGAAUGUCAAAGCAAACUGACUCCGGAACACUGGGCUGCCCUUUCUUUCAGUCUCUCCCUACCAAUUUUAUUGGCUUUUUAUGGUGGUUUGUCAUGACUGGUCGUGGUCACGUUCUACAGUCUACAGUAACGCAUUGCAAGCUAUUGUGUCAUGGUU